rnacentral:rRNA from 1 species
UGGGGAAUUUUGGACAAUGGGGGAAACCCUGAUCCAGCCAUCCCGCGUGUGCGAUGAAGGCCUUCGGGUUGUAAAGCACUUUUGGCAGGAAAGAAACGUCAUGGGUUAAUACCCCGUGAAACUGACGGUACCUGCAGAAUAAGCACCGGCUAACUACGUGCCAGCAGCCGCGGUAAUACGUAGGGUGCAAGCGUUAAUCGGAAUUACUGGGCGUAAAGCGUGCGCAGGCGGUUCGGAAAGAAAGAUGUGAAAUCCCAGAGCUCAACUUUGGAACUGCAUUUUUAACUACCGGGCUAGAGUGUGUCAGAGGGAGGUGGAAUUCCGCGUGUAGCAGUGAAAUGCGUAGAUAUGCGUAGGAACACCGAUGGCGAAGGCAGCCUCCUGGGAUAACACUGACGCUCAUGCACGAAAGCGUGGGGAGCAAACAGG